AUUGAACGCUGGCGGCAGGCCUAACACAUGCAAGUCGAGCGAGCGGCGGACGGGUGAGUAAUGUCUGGGAAACUGCCUGAUGGAGGGGGAUAACUACUGGAAACGGUGGCUAAUAGCGCAUACCAUCAGAUGUGCCCAGAUGGGAUUAGCUAGUAGGUGGGGUAAUGGCUCACCUAGGCGACGAUCCCUAGCUGGUCUGAGAGGAUGACCAGCAACACUGGAGCUGAGACACGGUCCAGAAUCCGACGGGAGGAAGCAGGGGGGAAUAUUGCACAAUGGGGGCAAGCCUGAUGCAGCCAGGCCGCGUGUAUGAAGAAGGCCUUCGGGUUGUAAAGUACUUUCAGCGGGGAGGCGUAACCCGCAGAAGAAGCACCGGCUAAUGCCUUGCCAGCAGCCGCGGUAAUA
rnacentral:rRNA from 1 species